AGCGAACGCUGGCGGCAGGCCUAGCACAUGCAAGUCGAACGGACCCUUCGGGGUUAGUGGCGGACGGGUGAGUAACACGUGGGAACGUGCCUUUAGGUUCGGAAUAACUCAGGGAAACUUGUGCUAAUACCGAAUGUGCCCUUCGGGGGAAAGAUUUAUCGCCUUUAGAGCGGCCCGCGUCUGAUUAGCUAGUUGGUGAGGUAAUGGCUCACCAAGGCUACGAUCAGUAGCUGGUCUGAGAGGAUGACCAGCCACAUUGGGACUGAGACACGGCCCAAACUCCUACGGGAGGCAGCAGUGGGGAAUCUUGCGCAAUGGGCGAAAGCCUGACGCAGCCAUGCCGCGUGGAUGAUGAAGAUCUUAGGAUUGUAAAAUCCUUUCACCGGUGAAGAUAAUGACUGUAGCCGGAGAAGAAGCCCCGGCUAACUUCGUGCCAGCCGCCGCGGUAACAC
rnacentral:rRNA from 1 species